rnacentral:rRNA from 1 species
GAGCGCUGUAGCAAUACAGAGCGGCGCACGGGUGAGUAACACGUGGGAACGUGCCCUUUGGUUCGGAAUAACUCAGGGAAACUUGAGCUAAUACCGGAUGAGCCCUAACGGGGAAAGAUUUAUCGCCGAAGGAGCGGCCCGCGUCGGAUUAGCUAGUUGGUGGGGUAAAAGCCUACCAAGGCAACGAUCCGUAGCUGGUUUGAGAGAACGACCAGCCACACUGGGACUGAGACACGGCCCAGACUCCUACGGGAGGCAGCAGUGGGGAAUCUUGGACAAUGGGGGAAACCCUGAUCCAGCCAUGCCGCGUGAGUGAUGAAGGCCCUAGGG